AUUGAACGCUGGCGGCAGGCCUAACACAUGCAAGUCGAACGAGUGGCGGACGGGUGAGUAAUUUCUGGGAACCUGCCUGAUGGCGGGGGAUAACUACUGGAAACAGUAGCUAAUACCGCAUACCAUCAGAUGUGCCCAGAUGGGAUUAGCUUGUGGGUGGGGUAACGGCUCACCAAGGCGACGAUCCCUAGCUGGUCUGAGAGGAUGACCAGCCACACGGGAACUGAGACACGGUCCAGACUCCUACGGGAGGCAGCAGUGGGGAAUAUUGCACAAUGGGCGCAAGCCGGAUGCAGCCAUGCCGCGUGUAUGAAGAAGGCCUUCGGGUUGUAAAGUACUUUCAGCGGGGAGGCGGUACCCACAGAAGAAGCACCGGCUAACUCCGUGCCAGCAGCCGCGGUAAUAC
rnacentral:rRNA from 1 species